CCUACGGGAGGCAGCAGUGGGGAAUAUUGCACAAUGGGGGAAACCCUGAUGCAGCGACGCCGCGUGAGUGAAGAAGUAUCUCGGUACGUAAAGCUCUAUCAGCAGGGAAGAAAAUGACGGUACCUGACUAAGAAGCCCCGGCUAACUACGUGCCAGCAGCCGCGGUAAU
rnacentral:rRNA from 1 species